rnacentral:rRNA from 2 species
GAGGGCACGUCUGCCUGGGUGUCAC